rnacentral:rRNA from 1 species
UACGUAGGGCGCAAGCGUUGUCCGGAAUUAUUGGGCGUAAAGAGCUCGUAGGCGGCUUGUCGCGUCGACUGUGAAAACCUGCGGCUCAACCGUAUGGUCUGCAGUCGAUACGGGCAGGCUAGAGUUCGGUAGGGGAGACUGGAAUUCCUGGUGUAGCGGUGAAAUGCGCAGAUAUCAGGAGGAACACCGGUGGCGAAGGCGGUUCUCUGGGCAUGUCCUGACGCUGAGGAGCGAAAGUGUGGGGAGCGAACAGG